AUGAGUCCUGCCAUCUUGCUCUCCUCUACCAGCACCAAGAGCUUCACCACUCGCCCAACCACCUUCUCCACCAACUACUGGUCCCUGGGCUCCAUCCAGCCGCCCAUCCUUUGGCCCACCAGCAGCGGGGUCAGCAUGUAUGCAGGUGCUGAAGGCUUGGCUCCUGGAUUUCUGUGUCCUGCUCCACCAGCUUCUGAGGUGACUGGUGGCCCAGAGUCCUGGUCACGAGGAUGGUCGUUGGUCUGGGAGACAUCCAGAGCGAGAAGGAGAAUGACCGCCUGGUCUCGUACCUGGAGAGGGUGAGGAGCCUGGAGACUGAGAACCAGAGGCUGGAGAGCAAAAUUCUGGAAUAUCUGGAGAAGAAGGGACCUCAGGUCAGGGACUGGGGGCAUUUCUUCAAGACCAUUGAGGACCUGAGGGCUCAGAUCUUUGCAACUUCUGUGGACAAUGCCCCCAAUCGUUCUGCAGAUGGACAACGCCUUUCUUGCUGCUGAUGACUUUAGAGUCAAGUGUGAGUCAGAGCUGGCCAUGUGCCAGUCUGUAGAGAGCGACAUCCAUGGGCUCCGCCAGGUCAUCGAUGACACCAACGUCACCUGGCUGCAGCUGGAGACAGAAAUCGAGGCCCUCAAGGAAGAGCUGCUCUUCAUGAAGAAGAACCACAAGGAGGAAGUAAAAGACCUACAAGCCCAGAUUGCUAGUGCUGGGUUGACCGUGGAGGUAGAUGCCUCCAAAGCUCAGGACCUCAGCAAGAUCAUGGUGGACAUCCAGGCCCAGUAUGACAAGCUGACUCAGGAAAACCGAGAGGAACUGGACAAGUACAAGUCCCAGCAGAUGGAGGAGAGUACCACAGCAGUCACCACGCAGUCCGUCGAGACGGUAGCUGCCGAGAUGACACCGGUGGAGCUGAGGUGUAUGGCACAGUCCUUGGAGAUCAACCUGGACUCAAUGAGAAAUCUGAAGGCCAGCUUGGAGAACAGUCUGAGGGGAGUGGAGGCCCACUACGCCAUUCAGAUGGAGCAGCUCAAUGGCACCCUCACUGCUGUACCUGGAGUCGGAGCUGGCACAGACCCUGGCAGAAGGCCGGCGACAGGCCCAGGAGUACAAGGCCUUGCUGAACAUCAAGGUCAGGCUGGAGGCUGAGAUCGCCACCUACCGCCGCCUGCUGGAGAACGGGGAGGACUUCAGUCUCGGGGAUGCCCUGGACAGCAGCAUCUCCUUUCAGACCAUCCAAAAGACCACCACCCGCAGGAUAGUGGAUGGCAAAGUGGUGUCUGAGACCAUUGACGCCGAAGUUCAGAGGUGCUGAGGCAGCAGGAGCACGAUACUCUGCGAGGAAGAAGGAGGCCAAUAAGAAGU